rnacentral:rRNA from 1 species
UCCCUUAGUAACUGCGAGUGAACCGGGAAAAGCUCAAAUUUAAAAUCUGGCGGUCUUCAUGGCCGUCCGAGUUGUAAUUUAGAGAAGCGUUAUCCACGCUGGACCGUGUACAAGUCUCCUGGAAGGGAGCAUCAUAGAGGGUGAGAAUCCCGUCUUUGACACGGACUACCAGGGUUUUGUGAUACGCUCUCAACGAGUCGAGUUGUUUGGGAAUGCAGCUCAAAGUGGGUGGUAAAUUCCAUCUAAAGCUAAAUAUUGGGGAGAGACCGAUAGCGCACAAGUACCGUGAGGGAAAGAUGAAAAGAACUUUGGAAAGAGAGUUAAACAGUACGUGAAAUUGUUGAAAGGGAAACGCUUGAAGUCAGUCGUCCUGGGCGGAAAUCAGCCUUGCUUUUGCUUGGUUUACUUUCUGUUCGGGGGGUCAACGUCAAUUUUGGUCGGUGGACAAAGGCUUGGAGAAUGUGGCACCUUCGGGUGUGUUAUAGCUCUGGGUCGGUAUACAUCGGCUGGGAUUGAGGAACUCAGCACGCCUUUAUUGGCCGGGUACUUGUACCACGUACGUGCUAUGGAUGUUGGCAUAAUGGCUUUAAUCGACCCGUCUUGAAACACGGACCAAGGAGUCUAACAUGCAUGCGAGUGUUUGGGUGGAAAACUCGAACGCGUAAUGAAAGUGAAGGUUAGA